rnacentral:misc_RNA from 1 species
CGCACAUUGCGCUCCCUGGUAUUCCGGGGAGCAUGCCUGUUCGAGCGUCAUUACAACCCUCACGCACUGCGUGGUAUUGGGCUCGCCCCGCUGGGCCUGCCUCAAAAUCAGUGGCGGCUUCUUCAGAACCCCUCAGCGUAGUAAUGCUACCCGCUGCUGGAGGCUGGAGCGGCCUGCUAGGAACCCCCACAUUCUAAAGGUUGACCUCGGAUCAGGUAGGGAUACCCGCUGAACUUAA